rnacentral:lncRNA from 10 species
CUUCCCUUAUGCCUCUUCUCACGGGCUGCAACUUGCCUGAGUCUUCAGCAAACCUCUGCUGGCGCCGGGCCUCAGCUCUCCACUUUGGUCAGGAGAGGAGUUCCUCAGAGCGACUGGGAGGAGAGCUGCUAAGGCUGAAAUGACCCAAACGCCUCCUUGAACCCAGCCAGGACUACAGGGCAUGCGGGGAGCUCCCGCUUAAGGUCCCUGGAGAACACCCUGCAGCCCCACGGCGGCAUCCUCCCAGCCCCUGCCUCGGUGCCUGUCCCCUCUUCUGACCCCAGCAAUGUGCCCUCCUGGUGAGUGUGUUCUGGAGGAGGCUGCCCACAAUUGCCAGGGUUGGGGCAGAGGGCAGUGGCAGCCGGGGCUGGCAGGGGGCGGCAGUGGGGCCGCCUGCCCCAGGCAGGGAGGAGAGGGGUUGAGUCAGGCCACGGAGGGAGCAUUCUCAGGCUGGCCUGGCCAGGGCCCCUUUCUCUCCAUGAGAUCAUAUCUGGGUCAAAGAGCAUGUAAAGCUGGCAGAGCUGGCGGUCACACAAAGCCCAUUCAGCCCAGCCCCUAUUCACUCACCUCCUCUCCCCCAGCGCCCGCGCCGCCGCGACCCCAGCACAGCGCCUAAGCCCCAGCUUUGAUGUCCAAGAACAGAAAACGGCGAUUAAAUGUUGUUUUAAAGAGGGAGUGCUCACUGCCCUCCCAUCUGUCAAGAGAAAGCUGAGGCCUGAGGGAGGGGAGGGGAGCUGGGGGAGGGGCGAGGAGGCUGUGUGUGUGUGUCUGUGUGUGUGUGUCGGGGAGUUGGAGUAGAGUGUGGGGGUGAGGAAAUAGGCAGGGGCCCAAGAAAAGCCAGGAUCAGGACGGCUUGGGGGAAUGGUGGCAACUGCUCAAAAUCAAAACACAGAAUUUGGUUAAGGACUGGUUUCCCAGAUGAGAAAUAUGUGGAGAGGGAAAAUAAGGUGGGACAGAGAAACAAAAGCAAAAAGAAAGGAGAAAAGACCACAGAUGAGGAAGAGAGGGGAGGAGUGGAAAGGAGAGAAAAAAGAUUGGGAGAGAGGAAAAAGAUGAGGGGCAGGAGGGGUCAAGAAAGCACAGCAGACGGCAAAGAGGGAGAGGAGAAAGCAAAGACAGAGAAGCAACUUCUAGGGGCUGGAGGCCCCCAGGCUGCACCUGUUCCUCCUCCUGGGAAGAUUGUCCGGUGGUAGGGGUAGCUCCAGGCGGUUUCUGCUCAGCAACCCCAGGGUCAGACAGACCCGGGUCUUGGCCCCAGGAGAACAGGGCUGAAAGGUAACCCUCCCAGUGCCACCCCUGGCAGGCCAGGCCUUGUUUGGCUCCCCAGGUGGGUGGCGGUGGCGCGUGGGGUGAUGGCUCCCUGCGACUCCUGGUGAUGCUGGAGGCCAGGCCUGAUGCUCGGUGUGGGUUUACCCUACCGGAGUGACCCAGCACGACAAUCAUGGCUGUGUCCCCUGGGUCUUGAGGAGGAGAGGGGUUAUUUUGGUCAGAGACAGGCAGUGAGGACGGCCUCAGGCAGAGGUGCUGAAGCACCACGUCUAGGAUUGAGUGGCUUUGGUUUUACAGCUAAAGAUAGGGCGAUGCUUCUAUCCCCGAUAAGAGGAACGGGGAAAGGGCCAGAGAAGAGGGCUUGGCCCAGACACAGGGAGAUGAGACAGGGAGGGAAUCGUACCCAUUGAGUGUUGUGGAAAUCCUUUAUUCCGUCCAUGACAAUGCAGAGCUUGCACGGCCACCUCCCACCCAUCCCCUCCCCUGCACAAGGCCACCUGCUCCAAUCUCCUUUCUUAACAGCUCUUGGCUGCUACAGACGCAGGCAGGGACCUUUGAUUGUGUGGAAGCUUCUUGUUGAGAAAUUUCUGAAGCUUGCUUAGCCACUAAGGAGUCAGUUGAAAAUGUCUCUCUAAAGACUAAAGAAGACGUGAGACCCCUGCUUUGAGAACUCUGGAGUAAAGGAACCUGGCCUGGUAUCAGGAGAGGUGGAUGGAGUUCUGACUGCUGCUCACCAGCCGUGCAAUCCUGAGCAAGUUAUCCUAACACAGCCACGGAUUCCGACUCAGCGGCCCGCUAGCAUGGUAGCCCCAGGGCGGCCAGGGUUUGUCUGUUUGUCCUUUGCUGUAAUUCCCAGCGCCGACAACAGUAACUGGUACAUGGUGGUCUUGCUGAAUAAGUGAACAAGUGCCUACCUAGCACAUUGUACCAAGGAUCAUACGAUAUUAACGUAUUUAACAUUUUUUAACUAAAAAGUAUUAGAAAAAUGUUAUUCAGUGCAUCUGUGCCUUGUAAAUGUGGCAUAAAAGUGACACAUAGAUAAGUCUAAAUAUGUGUAAUACAGAGCUUUCUUUUUCCCAGUCCCCACACAAAAAUCUUAAUUCCUCUACCAUGUUCCCCACACAAGAAAAGGCAAAAAAAACAAAAAAAAAAAACAAAACAAAACCAAGUACUUCAAUAAAAAGGUGGGACGCUUCAAGCGAGAGACAACUGAAUUAACUUUAUUCUCUUCUAACUGCAGAUUCAAGGUAUACAACUGAACAUUGCUAUUUUUCUUAUGAGACUUAUAAAUAAAAAUACAAAAAAUGUUCACUACAAAAAAAUCUACUGUUAGUAGGAUGUAAAAAAUAUUCUCUUUGCUAUAGAAGGCACAAACUUCACUUAGUGACACAUGGAGAGAGAAAAAAACCUGCAGCAGUAAAUUCAUUUUUUCUUUUUUUUUCCUUUUUUUUUUUUUUUAAAUCUUGUCAGAAACACUGAAAUUACAAAGAAACGCGUCAAUCUACACGAAACGAAGGCAGAUGCGGAAAGCUGCAACCAGGACUGCACAACUUCGAGUGAAACUGCUUCGGAACUAGAACAGAUAAGGAGCGGCAAGCACAACUCGGGGAAGUGGGCUGGGGAGGGGGCAGCAGGAGGCAGGAGAGAGGGAGAGAGAAUGGAGUGGACAGAAAUGAGACGGGGAGCCAGAGGGAGGAGGGGAGGGCGGGAGAGGGAGAUGGAGAGGGCAAGGGUGAGAGGUGGGGAGGAGAGAAAGAGAGAAAGAGAUUGAUUUGUACAAAAAAGUAACCAGUAAAAUUGAAGAAACAAAAUUGGGCAACCUCCUAAAAUUAGGCUAAGAGGAGGUGCUGAGGUAGACAUUAACUAGAACAUUGAUGAAUUAAAAACACUAUUCUGUAAUACAGAGCAAUCCGACUGGCACUUGUGCUAUCACGACAUAAGACAAGCCACAAAAACAAACAAAUAACAAAACGAAACAUAAUACCCAAACCAAAAGGCUUAGUUUUGCUUGGUCCAGCAGGGCAGCAGGGCCCUCAGUGCUAUAAUUUACAUACAUAUAUAUAUAUAUUUAUCUUUAUAUAUACGGGUUGGAUGUCAUGGUGCACCACCACGGCUUCUUAACCUUACGAAGAUCAUGCAUAACACUAUGUGAACAAAUCCUAUGAUACACACCAGGAGGCUGGUACCCUGUCUGCGAAGUUGGAUGCCAAGGGCCCGGGGAGGCCGCAGCUGCUGGCUAACCGGCCUGCAGGGCCUGCACCCCUCUUUCUCCCCACCCUUUUCCCCUGACCCAACCUCUCUGGUUUGUCCUGCACCCCUCUCCUGGCCAUCUCUGCCUUUUUCCUCUCCCCAUCUGUCCCACCGCGUAGGGUGAGUCUCGCCUUUCAUCCUCCCACUGAAAUAUCCAGGUAAGUGCCACCAUUACAGCCAAGCCGGCCCAGAAACUACCCUGACCCUGCCAGCCGUCAUGGACAGAGUCGAAAGGCUGCCCCACCUCUGCUCUCUCCCCUAUAGGGAGCAGGCACAAAGAUUAAACAAGCCCGCGUUGCAUCCCUUGGAUUGUACUGAAUCACUGGGUCCCCCAGCCUCCCUACCUACCCCUGCACCCCAGAUCUGCCUUCCCCAUAUUCAUGGCCUCCUCCUCCAAAGCAGCCCAAAGCAGCAAUGAUAUUUACUAUUUUAUAUCAAUCUCUUGCUAUAUAUAUAUAUAUCUAUAUAUCUAUAUAUUUGUCUAUCCUAUAUAUACAUAGGAUUUUAAUGCUUUGAAUGAGUGAAGGAGUGAAUAGGGAAAGAGCACAUGAGGUGUAAAUGUCACCAAAUGCAUUAAGGGACAUAUUUGUAGGAGCUGGACAUGGGAAAGGGACUAUUAACCAACGUGGCCUUGCCAGGCUGGAGAAGUUUUUCACUGUGCUGGAUAAGGCAGUAGCAAGCAGGGUUGUCAGCAGUACCACAGCUAAAGGCAGCCAGGGGGCCGAAGGAGUCAGGUGGCAUGAAGAAGAGGGGAGGACAGAUAUUCAGAUCCCACCUGGGGAGAGACCCCUGUCUACCCUCCUCCUCUCCCCUUAACUCCAGACACAUAUAAAGCCUCCAGACAGCCUCUUAGCUUGCCCCCUGGCCACUAGGCCGUGCAACAUUAGAACUGUUCUGUUGUUGUAGGUAGGAAGUUGGAGAAGAGGCAUGUUAGACUCUAUUCAGGUGUCUUCAUGGGGAGAGGAAGGUACAGUAAGUUCAGAGGUGUCCCCAGACAGUAGCCCUCAGAAACCACACUCCCCUGAGCUCUCCCCAUACCUCCCUACUGGGGUCUGCAGGGCCCACGGGGUUGGGUGGGGCAUCCAGGUGCUGAUUUAGUACCAUCCAUUGCUGCAACACCAGAUUACGACAAUACUGCAUGAUUUAACACACAACCACACACACAAAGCACACGCGCACACGCACAUACAUGUACAAAGGGAUAUUUUGGUGGUGGUGGAUUUUUUUUUGUCUUUUGUCUUCCUAUUCACAUUACAAAAGGAAAGGGCAAGGUUCUGCAGAACUGACGAAGGAACUAACAGAUACUACAAAAAUAUUACAAUUUGUGAAGAUUAGCUCAACCCUCUCAGCUUUUAUGAAUGGAGCGGGGAGGGGCCCAGGCUGAGUGGGAAGGGCAUGGGAGUGAGGGGGCCAGCUAGUUCUAUGGAAUAGUUUGAUUUUUUUCUCUUCCUUCCCCACCAAUGUUGAAUGACAUCUUGCUGUUAAAAAUACUGUUUUCUGGGAUUUACAGAUCCCCUGAGGGCCAGCCAGUCCCCGCUUCUUCCCAGACCAGAGGAGGAAGCCAUAGUGCAUAAUGAUUUCUUACAGACGGCCCCUCCCCCAAAUGAUUUCACCCUUUUCACAUUAUAAACAUGACAACUGUUCUAGUCACGUAUUUCAAGUUUAACUUCUUUUCCUUUCCAAAACACUAAGUCGUUACUAUAGUUGCAAAAUAGCAUCCUCCCUACUUUACCAUCCCUAAUCCACAGUCUAGUGACACCGUCCUCCCAAUUCACAUCCUCCCAACACACAAUUUUAAGGCCUUCAGAUUUGGUGGAUGAGAUUGAAGGGGAGGGCAGGAGGGCUGGGGCCGAGGGACGGGGGGGUCGUCGCAGCAGCACCCAUCCCUCCGGCUUCCCUACAUUCCUCGUGAUCCUUCUCCCCAAAACCGCUUCCCUAAACCACUUUGUAAAACCUAAGAUCAAAACGCAGCCACAACUUUCUCAGAGAGAGAAAGGAAAGAAAAAAUAAUAAUAAAAAACUCUUACACAUAAAGCAUGAGAUGAAACGGAGGGUCCGUCCCAAAGCAAACACGAAUAUUGCAAAUGUGCUUUCCAAAAUUCAGGAGGGUCGGGGGAGGUUGGGGAAAAGAGGGAGGAAGAGCAGCAGAAUGGGAGGCGGGAAAGGAACAAAAGAACAACUGGACAAACAUAAGAGGUAGCUUUUAGAAAAACAACACCCCCACCCCAACACAACAAAACAAAGGCUGGAUCCCGCCCCCCUCCCCAAAGACCAGCCGUGAAAAUAGACCAAUUCUGGCAAUGAGAAUGCACGCACAGAGGUGAGACCACACAGUUGCAAGGAUCCAAACACAGGCCCUCAAACCUCAAUGGCCCAGCAAAUUGUAAGAAAGGUGGGAUUCUCUCCAGAGUGUUUUAGGCGGAACGGAUGGUGGCCACAGGUGACUUCAUGCACCAGCGGAGCCAAAAGUGACUCCCUAGUGCCCUCUGGGGACCAUGAGACCCCAAAGCAACAUCCCCUCCCCACCCACGCUCUUCGCCCUCCUCGGCCCUCACAUUCAGAUCCUGAGUAUCAACUCCUCCUGCACAGUUCCUGCCAGCUGGGAGGCUGGUCUCCAGGGGCACGGGGAGGGUCUUGACCAGCUGAAGUCACAAAAAACUGAGGUAAUUCAAGUACAAUGUGCUAACAGGGGACACAGAAAAGAAGCAAAACAUAACACAAGGCCAAAGCGCUUUCAAAUCCUCCUCCUCCUGCAGCUCCUCCCCCUCCUUCUGCUCCUCCUCCUCCUCCUCUCCACUGUGGACCGAGGGGCGCUGUGAGUCAGGAAUUCUGUGCGACUCUCUCUGGACCUGGCUUUUCUUGCUGAGCUCACUACAUCUGGGGUCCCCAGUGUGACUCAACAACUUUCUCCCUUGCCCAGCUUCCCUCAUCCCACGGGCUGGGUGUCCUCUUUUCCAGGUGUGGGACCCCUCUAGAGAAAGACAUCCACAACCUACCCUCGGAACCUCAGCCCAUUCAUGGAUUCCUUCUCCUGGGACUGAAGUAGGGCUACGUAGGGACUGUGGUUUGUUUGGUAGGAUAUUAGGUAUUUAGUUGUGAUGCUUUUCCAUUUUGGAAGCAGCGCAGCAGGAAUCUUGCUCACGAUGGUGCUGGACUAGGGUGGGGUAUUGGAUUUGUUUUGUGUUCUCAGAAGGCUGAGGGUAGGAGGGACCCUGAAGUCAGAGGCAGCUAUCCCACUAGGGAACCGGAGAAGGAUGGAGACACCGCCAGGUCCCUGAGGGGCUGGGACUCCCCUGGGACUUGGAGGACAGGAGUCAAGGGGAGGCUGGGAACAAAGAGCUGGAGGAGGGGCAGGGGUCCUGAGGCUCUCAGAGACCACCGGGGGACACCCAGAUGUGGCAAAGCAGAGGAAAGCAGCAGGUGGGCUGAGUGGUGGGAAGAGAAACAGAGCCCUUCUCCUCCCCAGUCAGCCGCCAGCAAACUAGAGCUGCCAUUUUGAGCAGCUAGUGACCCAGCCCAGACCCAUCAGCAGGGGAGCGCCCUUCUGGCUCACCUCCUCCCUCCCUUCAUCUCCUGGGGGUCUUGGUGGAGGAAGGCCGGCACAGACCGUGUGGCUCUGACCAGAGGACCUCUCACCUGCUUUCUAGCCUCCAUUUCUGGACACAUAAAAGAAGGUCUGGGUGAAGGAAGGAGAAAAAUGUGCCACCAUUUGAGUGAACAAAAUACCCAACCCCAUCCCAGAAAAUCAGGCAAACCUCCAGCCGGGAGAGGAGGGUGGAGGCCCCCAGAGGAGGGGCAGUGGCUUGGCAUCCAGGUCAUCUGGAGCCCAGAGAGAAUCCAAGGCCAAAAAGCUACCAGGUUUCCUUUUCCUUCUGUUUUUUUUUUUCUUUUCCUUUUUUAUUUGUCAUAGUCCUUCCUUCAUCUCACUCCAACUCUUCUUUCCUGGCUCCCCGCUCGGCUCCACCGCCGCGGGCCUCCCUUCACA